UUUCAACUAUAAAUAUCACAUGUAUCCCGUUAUUCCACUAUAAAAAUUAUAUGGCAGAGAGAAGUUUAUAAAAUCGGCAGCCAUGUUAGAAAGAAAGAAAGAUUUAGAUGUGCCACAAUAUUAUUUUGUUUCAAGAAAUUCAUUUGGUAUAACGAGGUAAGAUACUUUAUGUGCAAGUGUUUUUGUUUCCUUAUUCUUUUAUAUUCAAUUAAUAAUGCAUGGAUUUCCAGUAGGCAUUCGUUUUUUUAAGAGAUAUGAAAUCCUACGGGAUUAUAAGAGGGUUUAAGAUGGGUGUGUCGUUUGGUCACCGAUAUACUCCAUAAGAUCAGAGUGAUAUGAAGUGUAAUUUUUAUUGUUAUAUAUUUGUAUAUGCAAACUACACGUAUUUACUGGGUGUUUUCGAAUACCUACUCUUACAAAUUUUUACGUUUUAGUUCGGAUCGAUUGGAACGGUGGUGGAAUGGUGAUGCAGACUGCCAAGUGGAUCAAAGGAAAAGAAAAAGAAAUAAGUUUGCCGUCUUUAAAUUUACCAAUUAGUUUAAUUUUAUUCAAAACUUGUUAGUUGAAUUAGUUAGAAGUUUAUGUUAUGUUUAGAUAUGAUUUUCAUGGUUUAAAUUUAAAUUUAUGAAUGUUAUAGUUAUUUGUUUAAUAAAGAACUUUAUUUUUAUAAUUCCGCACUUAAAAUAAAGAAUAGUGAGUUUGCG
rnacentral:lncRNA from 1 species